GAUGAACGCUGGCGGCGUGCCUAAUACAUGCAAGUCGAGCGGACAGACGAGGAGCUUGCUCCUCUGACGUUAGCGGCGGACGGGUGAGUAACACGUGGAUAACCUACCUAUAAGACUGGGAUAACUUCGGGAAACCGGAGCUAAUACCGGAUAAUAUAUUGAACCGCAUGGUUCAAUAGUGAAAGACGGUUUUGCUGUCACUUAUAGAUGGAUCCGCGCCGCAUUAGCUAGUUGGUAAGGUAACGGCUUACCAAGGCAACGAUGCGUAGCCGACCUGAGAGGGUGAUCGGCCACACCGGAACUGAGACACGGUCCAGACUCCUACGGGAGGCAGCAGUAGGGAAUCUUCCGCAAUGGGCGAAAGCUUGACGGAGCAACGCCGCGUGAGUGAUGAAGGUCUUCGGAUCGUAAAACUCUGUUAUUAGGGAAGAACAAAUGUGUAAGUAACUAUGCACGUCUUGACGGUACCUAAUCAGAAAGCCACGGCUAACUACGUG
rnacentral:rRNA from 1 species